rnacentral:lncRNA from 1 species
GCCUCUGGAUGUCAUAUUCUUCUUGACAGGCACAGCAAUUAUCUUCUGCAACUGAGCAUCUGAGUCACUUUCAGUGAGGUUCCAGCUGCAGAGGAGCCCGGAAGCUCUGAGAAGUCAUCUCAGUAUCACAAGAAGCUUGACAGAAAAGGAGUUGGCAGGCCACCUCAGUGCCACAGAGUCGGAACUGGCAUUCAACAGGACACCUGCUGGUGUCUUAGUGUCUCCUCCAGGAGCUGCUGGAUUUUAGGCUUUCCUGCCAGCUCAUAAAACAGUGAACCUCCUCUGCUAAAGUGAGGGCUUCGAGAGGCACUUCACAGAGAUGAGUUUAUUUUAAAGAAAGUGCCUACCCUGGAGAUUGAUUUCAUGCUUCUGGACGCUGCUUUUGCAGGCCUCGAGGUGCGGUGUUUGUGCCCCUGCACAUCUGAAGCCACUUUAUAGGGAACUAGAGUGAGGUG